CGUACGCAACCUUCCCAUAACUGGUGAAUAGCCCUCCGAAAGGAGGAUUAAUACACCGUAACAUAAUGAAGUGGCAUCACUUUAUUAUUAUAGGCAGCAAUGUCGGUUUUGGAUGAGCGUGCGCCUGAUUAGGUAGUUGGCGGGGUAACGGCCCACCAAGCCUGCGAUCAGUAACUGGUGUGAGAGCACGACCAGUCACACGGGCACUGAGACACGGGCCCG
rnacentral:rRNA from 1 species